rnacentral:tRNA from 1 species
AGUAAAGUGGCUGUGUGGUAAAGCACUUGGCUUACGAACCGAGGUGUCCGGAUUCAAAUCCUGAUUUUUUUA